CUCCACGUACAGGUAACCCCGGACAUGCUCUGGGGCCACCACCGACUUGAUCUGCAGGGGCUGGAACAGGUGAGACACAGGUGAGAUACAGGUAAGGGACAGGUGUGAUACAGGUAACAGACAGGUGAGACACAGGUGUGACAGCCCUGCUUGACGUGCGUCUGCUUGUACGCCUCCACGUACAGGUAACCCCGGACAUGCUC